rnacentral:rRNA from 1 species
UACGUAGGGGGCUAGCGUUGUCCGGAUUUAUUGGGCGUAAAGAGCGUGUAGGCGGCCAGGUAGGUCUGGUGUGAAAACUCGAGGCUUAACCUCGAGAUGUCAUCGGAAACCAUCUGGCUAGAGUCCGGAAGAGGAGAGUGGAAUUCCUGGUGUAGCGGUGAAAUGCGCAGAUAUCAGGAAGAACACCAAUGGCGAAAGCAGCUCUCGUGGGACGGUACUGACGCUGAGACGCGAAAGCGUGGGGAGCAAACGGG